CUUAUAGCAGAAUGAGCCAAUCAGGUGUCAAGUCUUUACGCCGCAUGUAUUCUCAUUGGUUGUCCAUACUAGACGAAAGAAAUGUAGACAACAGAUGAUUGGAAAUCUCCCAACUUAAAUCCUGAAGAGUCUGAAUGUGUUGGUGCCGAUCAUGGAUUGUUUUGUUUUUCAUAAAAAUUAUAAAAUCGACAACAGUAGCAGUCAUAAUGACAACAAUGAUUGCAAUUAUAUCAGCACAACAACAACAACAACAACAAGAUGGGUAAUGUUUUGUAAUAUGGAAUGAUUUUUUCCAAUAGAUUGGUUGAGUUUAACACUUGGAAAUAUAUUGGAAGAAAUAUUAACUCAGUUGGAAUUAUGCAGUUAGUGAAAAAUUUGAUGAUACAAUUCUUUCAGUUGCCAAUAUAACAACGGAAUAACAAAUAAGCGAUAUCAAUAUGAGCUGGUGUUUUAUUCCAGGAGAUCGAACACCACCACCAUGGAGAUAUCACUUUGUGGGAAAUUUAUUGGCAGAAAUGUAUCCUGAUCUAGAAGGAACACGGAGGAGUGGAUUUGCUCAAUUAACAGAUCAAGGAAUUGAGUUAACUCCAUCACCAGCUUUCCAGCUGCAAUCAACAAACAAUAAUAAUAACUAUUAACAAUUUAUGGCAAGAUAUUUAAAUUAUGAAGCGAGUAUUCCUUAAUUUGGCUGAACACAUUCACGAUGGGAUAUAUUGUUAAUUCUGUAUCUCAACAGCUUAACUCAUUGAGAAUUGUAGAUGAUACGCAACGCUACAAUCAACCUAUAAUAACAAUCGGAACAUUAUCGUGCUAUUUAAUAAUUAACGAUGAGAACCACUACUGGUGGUCUCGAUUUGAAAUUGAUGUCACAACCGUUCCAACUUUAGCUGACUACUAUUUUACAGGAAACUUAGUUAUACAAUUAUGCAUGGUUGGAGCUGCUGAAUUACAAAGACGAACACAAUAAGAACAACAAAUGCAACAAUUAUAAGAACUACAGAUCCAUGAAAACUCAGAUGAUAAUAAAUUUAUUGCUGAUACUGUGAUACUAAUGGAUAAAUCUAUUAAUUGUAAUUCAGAUGGUGGGUGGGAUAAAGAUGAAAAAAGUGACCACGAUGAUGAUGAUGAUGGUGGUGAUGAGAACAUGUUAGGAAUAUUUAUUAUAAAAAAUAAUUAUUAUUAUGACAAGCUAGUUAAUUAUGUUUUGAAAGAACAACAAUUAUUACUAUUUUUUUAAAUUAUGUUGAGAUGAAAAAAAUUGUGAUCUUCAUUCAUUUAUUCAUUAUUUAUUCGGGGAUCUCAGUUUUUUUAUUGAUAAUAUUUUUUUCUAAUAUAACAAUACGAGUAAUAGUUUCAAAAUUAUUUUUUUUUUUCAUUAUGUGAAAAAGAAAAAAUUUUUCUCUAUAUGUUUAUUUUUUAAAAGGAUAUAACUAUAAGAUUAUAUGUAAAAGUGCCAAGUCUGUGCAUAGAAGAAUGUAUAUGCAUAUGGCUGUGUCAAAAAAAUCGACUAAUGUUUUUUUUUUUCGAAUAGUCGUGGGAUUCUGUUAUAGGAUAUCAAAAUAAAGUUUCUGUGAAAAUAUGAGUUCUUAAUAUUGAUAUUUAGAGGUCGCGAAUCACAAUUUUCUAUUUUCCAUUUAAAUGACAUGGGAAAAAAAAACUUAAGCUUGGAAUUUUAUACCUCGGCAAUGACUUAUUGUACAAAUGAGCUCAGGAUAUAUUUUGUAGGGAAUUAACGAUCUACAAAAAAGUCUCUUAUUAUUUUUUGAUAAAUUCGUCUGUUUACAAGUUAUUGGAGCUUGAAGUCAGAUUUACAGUAAAUUUCAAGUUCUUUUUGAUUUUCCGGCGAAACGAUCAGAUUAUUCACAAAAUGUCGUGAAUUUUUUUUUGUAGAAAAUUUUACUCCUGACGAACUAUUUGGAAUAAAGUUUUUUUAAAUUCUGCAUAUAUUCCUAGUUAUUUACAUUUUAAUGUUAAGCUCUUAAAAUCGAUCAGAACACUAUUUUCUUAAGAGCUUGAUAUUGAAAUGGGAAUAACUACAAAGUUAUGCGGAAUUCGAAAAAUAUUUAUUCGAAAUAAUUUGAUAAGUCUGAUAAUCUGCCGAAAAUGUUAAAAGAUUUCGAUAUUUACUAUAAAUUUGACUUCAAGCUCCAAUAACUUUUUAACAGACGUAUUUAUCAAAAAAUGAUAACAGACUUUUCUUGUAGAGCGCUUAACUCUCUACAAGAAUAUAUCCUGAGCUCAUCUGUAUAAUGAGCUAUUGCCGAGGUUCAAAAUUCCAAGCUUAAAAAUUUUUUUUUUCCCAUAUAAUUUAAAUGGAAUAUAGAAAAUUAUGAUUCGCGACCUUUAAAUAUCAAUAUUAAGAGCUCAUACUUUCACAGAAGCUUUAUUUUGACAUCCUAUGACAGGAUCCCACGGCCAUUUGAAAAAAAAAAACAUUAGUCGAUUUUUUGACACACCAUAAUGUAUAUAUAUAUUAGGGUGUUUCGAAAAAAAAACAAAUUUUUUUUUAUGGUGUCCAAAAAAUGAAAGUAUAACUAAAAAUAAGAAUUUUGGUAACAAUCCGGGCUUUUAAUAGUGGUAUUGCCUUAAUCCAUUUUUUUAUUUUUCAUUUAAAUAACACGGGAAAAAAAAUUUUUUUUUUUUUAGAAUUUUCAAGCUCACAAACCGAUCGACGGAUUUUUAUGCCUAUUAAAUACUUUUGUAGGAAAAUGAACACUCUACGAAAAAAGUCUCUUAUCAUUUUUUGAUAAAUCCCACAGUUCGGAAGUUAUUUAAGCUUCAACUCAAAUUUAUAGUAUAUUUUGAGGUUUUUUUUUACUUUUCCGGCGGAAGUAUCAAUCUUAUCAAAAGAUGUCAUGAGAACAUUUUUGUAGAUAAUUUUAUUCCUUACAAAUUAUUAUAAACAAAAUUUUUCAAA